AGAGUUUGAUCCUGGCUCAGAUUGAACGCUGGCGGCAUGCCUUACACAUGCAAGUCGAACGGCAGCACGAGAGCUUGCUCUCGGUGGCGAGUGGCGAACGGGUGAGUAAUAUAUCGGAACGUACCCUAGAGUGGGGGAUAACGUAGCGAAAGUUACGCUAAUACCGCAUACGAUCUACGGAUGAAAGUGGGGGAUCGCAAGACCUCAUGCUCAUGGAGCGGCCGAUAUCUGAUUAGCUAGUUGGUGGGGUAAAAGCUCACCAAGGCGACGAUCAGUAGCUGGUCUGAGAGGACGACCAGCCACACUGGAACUGAGGCACGGUCCAGACUCCUACGGGAGGCAGCAGUGGGGAAUUUUGGACAAUGGGCGCAAGCCUGAUCCAGCAAUGCCGCGUGAGUGAAGAAGGCCUUCGGGUUGUAAAGCUCUUUUGUCAGGGAAGAAACGGUGGACUCUAAUACAGAUCACUAAUGACGGUACCUGAAGAAUAAGCACCGGCUAACUACGUGCCAGCAGCCGCGGUAAUACGUAGGGUGCAAGCGUUAAUCGGAAUUACUGGGCGUAAAGCGUGCGCAGGCGGUUGUGCAAGACAGAUGUGAAAUCCCCGGGCUCAACCUGGGAAUUGCAUUUGUGACUGCACGGCUAGAGUGUGUCAGAGGGGGGUAGAAUUCCACGUGUAGCAGUGAAAUGCGUAGAGAUGUGGAGGAAUACCGAUGGCGAAGGCAGCCCCCUGGGAUAACACUGACGCUCAUGCACGAAAGCGUGGGGAGCAAACAGGAUUAGAUACCCUGGUAGUCCACGCCCUAAACGAUGUCUACUAGUUGUCGGGUCUUAAUUGACUUGGUAACGCAGCUAACGCGUGAAGUAGACCGCCUGGGGAGUACGGUCGCAAGAUUAAAACUCAAAGGAAUUGACGGGGACCCGCACAAGCGGUGGAUGAUGUGGAUUAAUUCGAUGCAACGCGAAAAACCUUACCUACCCUUGACAUGUCUGGAAUCCUUGAGAGAUCAGGGAGUGCUCGAAAGAGAAUCAGAACACAGGUGCUGCAUGGCUGUCGUCAGCUCGUGUCGUGAGAUGUUGGGUUAAGUCCCGCAACGAGCGCAACCCUUGUCAUUAGUUGCUACGAAAGGGCACUCUAAUGAGACUGCCGGUGACAAACCGGAGGAAGGUGGGGAUGACGUCAAGUCCUCAUGGCCCUUAUGGGUAGGGCUUCACACGUCAUGCAAUGGUACAUACAGAGGGCCGCCAACCCGCGAGGGGGAGCUAAUCCCAGAAAGUGUAUCGUAGUCCGGAUUGUAGUCUGCAACUCGACUACAUGAAGUUGGAAUCGCUAGUAAUCGCGGAUCAGCAUGUCGCGGUGAAUACGUUCCCGGGUCUUGUACACACCGCCCGUCACACCAUGGGAGCGGGUUUCACCAGAAGUGGGUAGCCUAACCGCAAGGAGGGCGCUCACCACGGUGGGAUUCGUGACUGGGGUGAAGUCGUAACAAGGUA
rnacentral:rRNA from 1 species